rnacentral:lncRNA from 1 species
CUUUAGAAAGCUACAGGUCUCACACUUCCCAAUGUAUGUCAGAGCAAAAACCAAGCCAUGAAGUCCAAGGAACUCUCCAUGGACCUCUGAGAUUUGUGUCGAGUCAAAGAUCUGGGCAAGGUUCCAUCAAUGUCGGCUCCAUCAAUGUGUAAUGGAAAAUGUUUGUAACUACCAACCAUCUCCCCAGAGUUGGCAGUCCGGCCAGUCUAGUAACUGAAAACCCAAUUCUAACCUCUACGGCGCUGGGGGAUCCAGCCAUUAGGACACUCAUCUCUGUGGCACUCCAUCCAUCAGGCCUUUAUGGUAGAGUAACUACAGAAAUACAGACGCCACUCCUGAGUAAAAGCAUAUGACAUACCGCUUGACAGACUCUGAGAGCAUGACGAAAAAUACUAUACAGUCUGGUAAGACCAUAAAACAAACUAUUUGACCUGAAUGCCAAGUGCUACAUCUGGUAAAAACAAGGUACCGCUCAUCACCUGGCUAAUGCCAGCCCCACAGUUAGUCAUGGUGGCGGGAGCAUCAUGCUAUAGGGAAGCUUUUUAGCGGCAGGGACUGGGAGACGGGUCAGGAUAGAGGGAAGAAUGAACACACAGAGAGGUUCACACUGGAGUUGCCUCGGGACAGGUCUGUCAAUGUCCUUGAGUGGCCUAGCCAAAGCCUGGAAUGAACAUCUAUGGGAAACCUGAAGAUCACAGCUCACCAAUGCUGCCCAUUCAAUCUGACAGAGAAAACAGCAGGAGCAAGGCAGGCAAGCAAAAACGCAGACUGAAGUCAGGCAAAAAACGCAGACUGAUAGCAGGCAAAAAACGCAGACUGAGAGCAGGAAAAAAACGCAGACUGAUAGCAGGCAAAAAACACAGACUGAUGGCAGGCAAAAAACGCAGACUGAUAGCAGGCAAAAAACACAGACUGGUGGCAGGCAAAAAAAAAUGCAGACUGAUGGCAGGCAAAAAACACAGACUGAUGGCAGGCAAAAAACACAGACUGAUGGCAGGCAAACCCCACAGACUGAUGGCAGGCAAAACUACAGACACAAAAAGACUCAAAGGGCUGACAGAAUUGAGUAAACUGAAUAGGGUGUUAAUGAGGAUUAAACAACAAACGUGAAAUCAGUAAGAACCAAAAGGAAAGGCUACGUUUUUGAACAAAGGAGAAAACGAAACACAACAGACUACAGUCAGGGACAACAGCAAAAACAAAACAAAUCCUUACAGGUGCUGUCAAAGUACUAUAUAAAGGGUCUGGAUACCCAUGUAAAUUUCACCAAUAAAUUGGCACACAUUUCAAAAAGCGUAUUUUUGGUUUGUCAUUAUAAGGGGG